GAUGAAGAAGGUAGCAAAAUGCGAUAAGUAAUGUGAAUUGCAGAAUUCAGUGAAUCAUCGAAUCUUUGAACGCACAUUGCGCCCGCCAGUAUUCUGGCGGGCAUGCCUGUUCGAGCGUCAUUUCAACCCUCAAGCCCUCGGGUUUGGUGUUGGGGAUCGGCGAGCCUUUCUGGCAAGCCGGCCCCGAAAUCUAGUGGCGGUCUCGCUGCAGCCUCCAUUGCGUAGUAGUAAAACCCUCGCAACUGGAACGCGGCGCGGCCAAGCCGUUAAACCCCCAACUUCUGAAUGUUGACCUCGGAUCAGGUAGGAAUACCCGCUGAACUUAAGCAUAUCAAUAAGCGAGGA
rnacentral:misc_RNA from 1 species